AAGAUGAAUGUAAUAUAGUUGUCUCAAAAUUAAUAUGUCCAAAAAUCAUGUUUCUUCUAGUCGCCAAGCAUCUUUUUCCUAUGGUCUUCAUCCAAGGUUCUGAGAAUUUGUCAGAAAUGUGAACUUGAAAGUGCUUCUGCUCUCAUGGAGGUGACAUUCUGGUUCAGAGAAACUAAGACCUGGAGUACCUGAGGAAUAUCACACAUAUCCCGCCUGGGGGUUUGGAGACUGUGUCCUGCCAGCUUGCUUCAUGCUCCCUCAUCAAUGUACUUUACCAAGAUAGCAUUCUCUCACUCAC